GAUGAACGCUGGCGGCGUGCCUAAUACAUGCAAGUCGAGAGAACGGACGAGAAGCUUGCUUCUCUGAUGUUAGCGGCGGACGGGUGAGUAACACGUGGAUAACCUACCUAUAAGACUGGGAUAACUUCGGGAAACCGGAGCUAAUACCGGAUGAUAUUUUGAACCGCAUGGUUCAAAAGUGAAAGACGGUCUUGCUGUCACUUAUAGAUGGAUCCGCGCUGCAUUAGCUAGUUGGUAAGGUAACGGCUUACCAAGGCAACGAUGCAUAGCCGACCUGAGAGGGUGAUCGGCCACACUGGAACUGAGACACGGUCCAGACUCCUACGGGAGGCAGCAGUAGGGAAUCUUCCGCAAUGGGCGAAAGCCUGACGGAGCAACGCCGCGUGAGUGAUGAAGGUCUUCGGAUCGUAAAACUCUGUUAUUAGGGAAGAACAUAUGUGUAAGUAACUGUGCACAUCUUGACGGUACCUAAUCAGAAAGCCACGGCUAACUACGUG
rnacentral:rRNA from 1 species